GAUGAACGCUGGCGGCGUGCCUAAUACAUGCAAGUCGAGCGAACAGACGAGGAGCUUGCUCCUCUGACGUUAGCGGCGGACGGGUGAGUAACACGUGGAUAACCUACCUAUAAGACUGGGAUAACUUCGGGAAACCGGAGCUAAUACCGGAAAAUAUAUUGAACCGCAUGGUUCAAUAGUGAAAGACGGUUUUGCUGUCACUUAUAGAUGGAUCCGCGCCGCAUUAGCUAGUUGGUAAGGUAACGGCUUACCAAGGCAACGAUGCGUAGCCGACCUGAGAGGUUGAUCGGCCACACUGGAACUGAGACACGGUCCAGACUCCUACGGGAGGCAGCAGUAGGGAAUCUUCCGCAAUGGGCGAAAGCCUGACGGAGCAACGCCGCGUGAGUGAUGAAGGUCUUCGGAUCGUAAAACUCUGUUAUUAGGGAAGAACAAAUGUGUAAGUAACUAUGCACGUCUUGACGGUACCUAAUCAGAAAGCCACGGCUAACUACGUG
rnacentral:rRNA from 1 species